UGCAGGCUGCGCGCGCACGCACAUCUACCCCUACACAUCUCCCCACACACAGGAGGAGGAGGAGGAAAACAGCUGAUGUCCGGGGACAAGAUGGGACACACUCGAUGAGAAGAAGAAAUAAAAACGCCCCCUGACCACCAGGCUUUGAGGACAGCAAUUCACCCUUCUUGCAUCUCUGCUCUCUGGAUGGUCCCUCCACCUCUCUGUGCCCUGGGGAUGAACGCACCAAUGAGGAGCCUCACAAUCCACUCUCUGUAUAGCACGGCAAGCCCCAGCAUGCUGAAGAGGAAACAGAGCUCCCGGGUCGAGACCCAGCCCAUGACCGAUUUUGGGCCAGAUGAGACUCUAGCAGACAGCGCCGACAUCUUCUGGAUCAACAAACCAUGGGUACACACCCUGCUAAGAGCCUGCGCCAUCAUCAGCGUCAUCUCUGUGUGCAUGAACACCCCCAAGACGUUCGAGCACUACCCGCCCUUGCAGUACGUGACGUUUACGCUAGACACGCUGCUCAUGUUCCUCUACACGGCCGAGAUGAUUGCCAAGAUGCACAUCAGGGGAAUCAUCAAGGGGGACAACUCCUAUGUGAAAGAUCGUUGGUGCAUGUUUGAUGGAUUCAUGGUGUUUUUCAUCUGGGUGUCCCUGGUGUUGCAGGUGUUUGAAAUAGCGGAGCUGGUGGAUCAGAUGUCUCCGUGGGGGAUGCUGAGAAUCCCCAGAGCACUCAUUAUGAUCCGGGCCUUCAGGAUCUACUUCCGCUUUGAGCUUCCACGCUCCCGCAUCACCAACAUUCUAAAGCGUUCGGGGGAGCAGAUCUGGAGCGUAUCUAUCUUCUUGCUGUUUUUUCUCCUGCUGUAUGGAAUUCUGGGUGUUCAAAUGUUUGGAACCUUCAACCAUCACUGUGUUACCAAUGACACACAGAAAGGCAAUGUGACAUGGAACAGCUUGGCCAUCCCUGACACCCACUGCUCCCCCGAUGGCGAGGGUUACCAGUGUCCCCUGGGCUUCAAGUGCGUGGACCUGGAAGAACUGGGCCUCAGCAGGCAGGAGCUCGGUUACAGUGGCUUCAAUGAGCUGGGGACAAGCAUCUUUACUGUAUAUGAAGCAGCCUCUCAGGAGGGUUGGGUGUUCCUCAUGUACAGAGCCAUUGACAGUUUCCCUCGCUGGCGCUCCUACUUCUAUUUUAUAACGCUCAUUUUCUUCUUGGCGUGGCUUGUGAAGAAUGUGUUCAUUGCAGUCAUCAUCGAGACCUUUGCUGAAAUCAGAGUGCAGUUUCAGCAGAUGUGGGGGUCGAGGAGCAGCACCACAUCCACAGCUACAACGCAGAUGUUCCAUGAAGACGCUGCUGGGGGAUGGCAGCUUGUAGCCGUGGACGUCAACAAACCACAUGGCCGAGCACCCGCCUGUCUUCAGCAACUGAUGCGGUCCUCCGUGUUCCACAUGUUCAUCUUGAGCAUGGUGGCUGUUGAUGUAAUUGUUGCCGCUAGCAACUAUUACAAAGGCGAGAACUACCGGAGGCACUAUGACGAGUUUUAUCUGGCGGAGGUGGCCUUCACUGUUCUGUUUGACCUGGAGGCUCUUCUGAAGAUAUGGUGUCUGGGCUUCACAGGCUACAUCAGCUCCUCCCUGCACAAGUUUGAAUUGUUACUGGUGGUGGGCACCACCCUGCACAUUUACCCUGACCUUUACCACUCCCAGUUCACCUACUUCCAGGUCCUUCGAGUGGUACGCUUGAUAAAGAUCUCUCCUGCCUUGGAGGACUUUGUCUACAAGAUAUUUGGACCAGGCAAAAAGUUAGGCAGCCUGGUGGUGUUCACAGCCAGCCUCCUCAUUGUCAUGUCAGCCAUCAGCUUGCAGAUGUUCUGCUUCGUGGAAGAACUGGACCGCUUCACCACAUUCCCCAGGGCAUUCAUGUCCAUGUUCCAGAUCUUGACCCAGGAGGGCUGGGUGGAUGUCAUGGACCAGACCCUGGUAGCAGUGGGUCACAUGUGGGCUCCAGUAGUGGCGAUUUAUUUCAUCCUAUACCAUCUGUUUGCUACCCUGAUUCUGCUCAGUCUUUUUGUGGCCGUCAUAUUGGAUAAUCUUGAGCUGGAUGAAGACUUAAAGAAGCUCAAACAGCUCAAGCAAAGCGAGGCAAAUGCGGACACCAAAGAGAAGCUCCCACUUCGACUCAGAAUCUUCGAAAAGUUCCCCAACAGACCUCAGAUGGUUAAGAUCUCCAAGCUGCCAUCGGACUUCACUGUGCCCAGAAUCAGGGAGAGCUUCAUGAAGCAGUUCAUCGAUCGCCAGCAGCAGGACCCCAGUUGUCUGUUCCGAAGACUCCCCUCGGCUUCGUCGUCGUCCUGCGACCACUCCAAACGCUCGGCCAUCGAAGACAACAAGUAUAUCGACCAAAAGCUUCGAAGGUCAAUAUUUAGCAUCCAGGCCCGGAAUCUGCUGGAAAAAGAAACUACAGUCAAUAAAAUACUACGGGCCUGCACAAGACAGCGUAUGCUGAGCGGGUCCUUGGAAGGACAGCCGGCCAAGGAGCGCUCCAUCCUCAGCGUCCAGCAUCACAUACGACAAGAGCGCCGGUCUUUGCGACACGGCUCCACCAGUCAGAGGAUCAGCCGAGGGAAGUCGCUGGAGACCCUCACCCAGGACCAUUCAAGCACUGUCCGCUACCGUAACGCCCAGAGAGAGGACAGUGAGAUCAAGAUGAUCCAAGAAAAGAAAGAACAAGCAGAGAUGAAGAGAAAAGUCCAAGAGGAGGAGCUGAGGGAGAACCACCCGUACUUUGACAAGCCUCUCUUCAUUGUGGGCCGGGAACACCGCUUUAGGAACUUCUGCCGGAUGAUUGUUCGAGCUCGCUUCAUCGCAUCCAAAACAGACCCUAUCACAGGAGCAGUGAAGAACACAAAGUACCACCAGCUGUACGACCUUCUUGGCCUGGUUACCUAUUUGGACUGGGUGAUGAUCAUUGUGACCAUUUGCUCCUGCAUCUCCAUGAUGUUUGAGUCGCCCUUCACCAGGGUCAUGCACGUGCCCACCCUGCAGAUUGGGGAGUACGUCUUUGUUAUUUUCAUGAGCAUCGAGCUCAACCUGAAGAUAAUGGCCGACGGUCUGUUCUUCACUCCCACGGCGGUCAUCAGAGACUUUGGAGGUGUCAUGGACAUCUUCAUUUAUCUUGUGAGUCUCAUCUUUCUAUGCUGGCUUCCGCCGGAUGUCCCUCCUGAGUCUGGAGCUCAGUUGCUGAUGAUGCUGCGCUGCCUGCGACCGCUCAGGAUCUUCAAGCUGGUGCCCCAGAUGAGGAAGGUGGUGCGGGAGGUCCUCAAAGGGUUCAAGGAGAUUUUCCUGGUUUCCAUUCUCCUCCUCACGCUAAUGCUGGUGUUCGCAAGCUUCGGAGUUCAGCUGUUUGCCGGAAAGCUGGCCAAGUGCAACGACCCCCAUGUGCUUAAAAGGGAGGACUGUCACGGGAUAUUCAGGAUUAAUGUUAGCGUAUCCAAAAACCUCAACCUCAAACUGAAACCCGGAGAGAAGAAACCAGGAUUCUGGGUGCCAAGAGUCUGGGCCAACCCUCGCAAUUUUAAUUUUGACAAUGUGGGAAAUGCCAUGUUGGCUCUCUUUGAAGUGCUGUCUCUGAAAGGAUGGGUAGAAGUCCGUGAUGUCAUCAUUCACCGCGUAGGACCGAUCCACGGCAUCUACAUCCACGUCUUUGUGUUCCUGGGCUGCAUGAUUGGACUCACUUUGUUUGUGGGUGUCGUCAUUGCCAACUUCAAUGAGAACAAAGGCACUGCUUUGCUUACAGUUGAUCAGAGGCGAUGGGAGGACCUGAAGAGCCGGCUCAAAAUUGCUCAACCUCUCCAUCUGCCCCCUCGUCCAGAAAAUGGGGGGUUCCGGGCCAAGAUGUACGAUAUCACUCAACAUCCGUUCUUCAAGCGGGGCAUUGCUGUGCUGGUGUUGGCCCAGUCUGUGCUGCUCUCAGUUAAGUGGGACGUAGACGACCAAGUAACAUUUCCCCUUGCCACCAUGUCUGUAGUCUUCACCUUUAUAUUUGUACUGGAGGUGACCAUGAAGCUGAUUGCUAUGUCUCCAGCUGGCUACUGGCAGAGCAGACGGAAUCGUUACGACCUGCUAGUGACAUCACUCGGCGUCAUCUGGAUAGUCCUACACUUUGCUCUAUUGAAUGCAUAUACGUACAUGAUGGGCACAUGUGUGAUUGUCUUCAGAUUCUUCACAAUAUGCGGCAAGCACGUGACACUGAAGAUGCUGCUGCUGACUGUGGUGGUCAGCAUGUACAAGAGUUUCUUCAUCAUCGUGGGAAUGUUCCUCCUCCUGCUCUGUUACGCUUUCGCUGGAGUCGUUCUCUUUGGCACCGUCAAGUACGGUGAGAACAUCAACCGGCACGCCAACUUCUCCACGGCAGGCAAGGCUAUCACCGUCCUCUUCCGCAUUGUUACAGGGGAGGACUGGAAUAAAAUAAUGCAUGACUGCAUGGUACAGCCUCCGUUCUGCACACCAGAUAAGCAUCGAUACUGGGAGACCGACUGCGGCAACUACGCCGGAGCUCUCAUCUACUUCUGCUCCUUCUACGUCAUUAUUGCUUACAUCAUGCUCAACCUGCUUGUUGCCAUCAUCGUGGAGAACUUCUCUUUGUUCUACUCUACCGAGGAGGACCAGCUGCUGAGCUAUAAUGACCUGAGACACUUCCAGAUCAUCUGGAACAUGGUGGACGACAAGCGGGAGGGCGUGAUCCCCACGUCCAGAGUGAAGUUCCUGCUGCGUCUGCUCAGGGGCAGGCUGGAGGUGGACCUGGACAAAGACAAGUUGCUGUUUAAGCACAUGUGCUACGAGAUGGAGCGACUGCACAGUGGAGGAGACGUCACCUUCCAUGACGUGCUCAGCAUGCUAUCCUAUCGCUCUGUGGACAUUCGUAAGUCCCUCCAGCUGGAGGAGCUGUUGGCCAGGGAACAGCUGGAGUACACCAUCGAGGAGGAGGUUGCCAAGCAGACUAUACGCAUGUGGCUCAAGAAGUGCCUCAAACGUAUACGUGCCAAGCAGCAGCAGUCAUGUAGCAUCAUCCACAGCCUGAGAGAGAGCCAGCAGCAGGAGCUGAGUCGCUUCCUCAACCCCCCCAGCAUUGAGACCACGGUGCCAAGUGAAGACCACAACGCCAACAACCCAGACAACUCCUCUCAGCCUGAGAUGAGCGGCCUCCAGCAGCUGCUCAGUCCCACCUUGUCUGACAGAGGAGGCUAUAGGCAGGACUCCUCCGACCUGGGGAAGCCACAGAGGAAGCUAGGACAGUGGCGGCUGCCUGCAGGUCGCACCAGCGUCAAGUCCAUCGUGUGCAAAAUGAACCCCGUCAACGACGAGGCCUCCUCGGGUUCAGAAGUCAAGAAGUGGUGGACCCGUCAGCUGACGGUGGAGAGCGACGAGAGCGGCGACGACCUCAUCGACAUUUAGAGACGAGAUUUUUGAAUGAAUUAUACAGUGGACAUUACCGCCACCUACAGGACACCGCCCUGGUGGAGGACUCCUUUUUAUUCGCUUUCUGUGGUAUGCCCUGACCAACCCUAAGUGGAAGCUACAACCAUGUUUGUGUAUGUCCGCCAAGGGACCCCUGCAACACCAGCCUCUCGCCAAGGGCUACUAAUGGAGAGUGAAGCCGAGUGCUCUCAUAAGAUAAUGUGACAAGGUGUCAGUCAAACUGAGGCCUGAGGGUUCCAUGGUGACAAGAAGGUUUUAAGGCGCAAACACUUUUGUGAGCAUCACCAGGGAGAAGGCAACAGCGGGGAUCACACCACAGACCAGGGGCCCACACUGGGCAGGAUGCUGGCUGGGUGCUGCCACUCUUCCACUCAGAAGCUGUGAUUUGUUUUGAUAGCGCUGUCAUUUUAGAGGGGGGGCGGGGCUAAAGACACCUGUGGAGGUUGAUGGGUAAAGUUGACAGUAUUGGACAGGACUUAAUAUCUUUGGAUGGCCUACAAGGCUUCUGGCUCUGGUAGCUCUUCUGGAGAACAUCAAACAACCAUAAAAGUGUCCGGCUGACUCAAAAAAAUGACAAUGAUCCUCAUUUUUGUUCUGUUCCAGUCCUGUAAGGGACAGUAAAGCACUUAACUGCACAAAUGUAUUAACUGUAGUGCCAUCUGCUGGAUUUAGGUGGUCACUUCCUGUCUUGGCCCCAAUGCAAGCGGACUGACUAUACUGUAUCUAUGAAAAGUGGGGGGGGACCAAAAUGUGUAUUGUUACCUGAAUCUGCACAAAAAGUAGACGUUUUAUUUAAUGUAACAAAGGUUUUAUGCAAAUUGGAUAUUAAGUCAUAAUGUUGCAAACAAACGAUCAAUUAGGCAAUCAAGAAGAAGCCAUAUAAAAACAUACAAAUAAUUCUAAAAAAUAAUAUAAUAAAUAUAUAAUAAUAGAAUGUAAUUAAUUAAUUAGGGCUGCAAGAUAAUUAUCGGCCGAAAAUUAUUGGGCCAAUAUCAGGAAUUAUGAUGUCAUACCGAUAAAUCCGAUAACAUGAAAAAAAUAGCUUUGAUAACCAAUUUUAAAAAAUUCCAAUGAGGCGAGGUCACCCGUACUAUGCUGUAGGUGGGUUAGCGUGGGCAAAUCAAGCGCGCCUUUUCUGUGAUGUGCUGCAAACGACCUGUUGUAAUUUCCCGAUCUCACUUGUAAACAAACAUGGAGUCCGUCGUGUGGGACUUCAGUGUGACUUCAUCAUGAAAAUGAUGACGUUGGAUGACCAGCCCUUUACCGUCGUUGAAGAUACUGGCUUUUGUCGGCUCGUGAAGCCCUUGGAGCCACGGUUUUUACUUCUGAGCCACCUCUAUUUUUUUUAUGUUUUGUUAAUGGUAGUGAUGUCAAAUCUACAGGUACAGUUUGUCAAAUCCAUCCUUGUUUUGAGUCGUUCUCAUCUCCAGGUGUGCACAAACUACAGUUCAAUCGAAAUGUUUAAAUGGAUAUAAAAAGUUAUCGGUAUCGGUCUUGAGAAGCAGGAAGUUAUCGGUAUCAACUUGAAAAGAAAUAUAUAUUGUGCAUCCCUACAAAUUAUUAUGGUAAGAAUUGGUGGGGUUUUUUUUGUUCAAUGUGUUCCCAAAAAUCAUUAGAUUUUUACAUUUUUAUUUUUUUAUUAAAUCCA